ensembl:snoRNA
AUGCAUCUAUUGACAGGCCUGGAGCAGUUACUUUCUGCUGCUUCCACUACAGAUUCAAGAAAAAAGUGUUGUAGCGCUUUCUGUCUGUCUGAUUGUGGUAGCCCAAAUUGAAUGUGGGAAUACAGGA